UACGUAGGGUGCGAGCGUUAAUCGGAAUUACUGGGCGUAAAGCGUGCGCAGGCGGUUGUGCAAGACCGAUGUGAAAUCCCCGGGCUUAACCUGGGAAUGGCAUUGGUGACUGCACGGCUAGAGUGUGUCAGAGGGGGGUAGAAUUCCACGUGUAGCAGUGAAAUGCGUAGAGAUGUGGAGGAACACCGAUGGCGAAGGCAGCCCCCUGGGUCAAGACUGACGCUCAUGCACGAAAGCGUGGGGAGCAAACAGG
rnacentral:rRNA from 1 species